rnacentral:rRNA from 1 species
CCAGACUCCUACGGGAGGCAGCAGUGGGGAAUAUUGGACAAUGGGGGCAACCCUGAUCCAGCAAUUCUGUGUGCACGAAGAAGGUUUUCGGAUUGUAAAGUGCUUUCAGCAGGGAAGAAGAAAGUGACGGUACCUGCAGAAGAAGCGACGGCUAAAUACGUGCCAGCAGCCGCGGUAAUACGUAUGUCGCAAGCGUUAUCCGGAAUUAUUGGGCAUAAAGGGCAUCUAGGCGGCCCUGUAAGUCUAGGGUGAAAACCUGCGGCUCAACCGCAGGCCUGCCCUGGAAACUAUAGGGCUAGAGUAUCGGAGAGGUGGACGGAACUGCACGAGUAGAGGUGAAAUUCGUAGAUAUGUGCAGGAAUGCCGAUGAUGAAGAUAGUUCACUGGACGGUAACUGACGCUGAAGUGCGAAAGCUAGGGGAGCAAACAGGAUUAGAUACCCUGGUAGUCCUAGCUGUAAACGAUGAUUACUGGGUGUGGGCAUGAAGAGUGUCCGUGCCGAAGCAAAUGCGAUAAGUAAUCCGCCUGGGGAGUACGGCCGCAAGGCUGAAACUCAAAGGAAUUGACGGGGGCCCGCACAAG